CAAACACAGCAAACACAGUUACCCUUGACAGACACGGCUGUGUCCAACGAUGGAAACAAUAGCUUCAUCACUUUAAAACUGGCAAAAUUUAAUCUCUCGCAGAAAACACACUAGGAAAUCUAUCCUGAAAGAGCUUAAGAUACUUGGAAAGCAAAAGCACCUGCAUGUUGAACUAUAAAUGAGCAGAACUCUUUUAGAGCAGGACAUGCGGCCCACGCUCGGCGCCCCCGGCGGCCCGGGCUCUCGCCGUGCUGCAGACGAAGAACCCGGCACAGCGGCAGAGCGGCGAGAAGCGACUGGGGCAAACGACUGUCUCAUCCUCUCAAGAAGUGGAACAUCUCUAUUGCACUUAAGAAGAUGAGGCAAUAGAGCCCAAAAGUACUGACACACCACCAGUGAUCUGAAUCUUGAAAUUUUAUUCCCUGGAAAAGGACAAGUCAUCAGGGAGCUUUUUCCUCCUCAAGGUAUCCUUGAAGACCUUACUGGAUACCCACUCACAUAUUUAAGCACAUAAUCAAUUUUAAAAAUCAAUGGAAUAGUUUCUAUUAAACUGGCCCCCCCUCCAAUAACUGAUCUGUUUCUGUGUUUUUAUGCCAUCUGCAUUUUUGACAACUGAAUAUUUUUGA